CUGGAACUUGUCUGUAUAUUUUGUUCACAGGAAUUCAGUUACAAAUGCUGCAGCAAGAAAGUGGGUAACUGUGAAGUUCAAGCGCCUUAAUGAAAUUUCAGAAACCACGUGCCAGUUCAUAGGAAAUGUGACAUCCUUUCCCUGUGUUAUCACCACUAAAGACAAUAAAGAGUAGCUCAGAGCACAAAAAUACAUUUUUAUAAAAAUGAAACCAUGGGUGUUGGCACAGCACCUUAUCUGUUCUGUGUGAGUAUGGAAGCAUUUGGAUUGCCUCAGUGGACACCUUAAGAUCCUUUAUUAAAUUUACGCUGUUGGCUUCUUGAGUACAGCUUUGAGAACACAGCCCAGUAAAUCAUCAGCGAAUGGUGUUCAGUGAUAUAUUUAAUGUGUUUGGAUCCAUGGACAUGAAAGUCAAAUCAAAGGUUCUGAGGAGGCAGCAGAGGUUAUGCCCUAUUUCAAAGAAUCAUGCAGCUGCCUAACACCUCUCUGGCCCUCUUGGAGGCAGACACACUCCUUCUGGAGCCAGCUACACAGAAGGUCUAAUCAAAUGGCUUAAUAGGUAAGUAUCACUGACUUAGUGCAAUUAUUUACAUUUGACUGAAGCCUAACACAUACUUUGCCAAAGUU
rnacentral:lncRNA from 1 species